GCCUGGGUGGCUCAGUCGGUUAAGUGUCCGACUUCGGCUCGGGUCAUGAUCUCACGGGGCGUGGGUUCGAGCCCCACCUUGGGCU
rnacentral:tRNA from 1 species